AGAUUCCCCAUCACAUCAAAAAUGCCGGCACAUGCAUGGAGUAAUAAAUGUAGAUGAAAUCAAAAAAUAAUUGUACAAUUUUCCCUCCUCUUGCGCCAAAGAAAGAACAGAGCAGCAGCAAAACAACUCGCCAUCCUAAAGACCACCACUGCAGCCAUCGCCUCACACGUCACACCUAUACAACUGCACGGCCUCACCUUGCGUCAAUCCUCCUCUGCUUGCUACCGAAGCGGCCGCCAUGGUCCUCGGCGUGAGCUCCCAGUUCCCACCCCGGCUCCGCCCCUACACGUCUCAUUCCAACGACCUCACGCUUCCUCACGGCAAGAAUCAGCACCGCGUCACCCUACUCCAUCGUUUCCCAAAUAUACCGGCCGUCGAAGCCAAGCCAAGAACCCCCUCCGUCGAACGCCGCCGCCGCAGGCUGCACGUGCCGUGUUGAGCCCUCGCCUGGGCCUUCUCUUAGCGCGUGAGCUUGGGGAACGGACCCUAAGCGUCCUGGGGUACGCGCCACGCACGUCCCCCUCCUCUCCCCACGGCUCCGCUCGCUGGCGCGCCUGCCGUCGAGGCGUCGAGCCCGGCCGGCCGGUGUCGUCUCUGUUUUUCCCCUGCAUCCGUUCAGAGGUAGAAGAAGGUUCAAGGUUGGUGAAAGAGCGCAAGUAACCUCUAACUGUGAUGAUAAAGGAUCGCUAAUCUUACGAUAUUGGAGCUGAUCUGGAGGAUUUUGGUGGCCAUGGUUAUCAUAUAGCGGUGAAGCCCGAAGAAUAAGAAUCUAUUAUCAACUAACUUCAUUUGGUUUUCACAGUCUUCACUUGAGGUUGCUGCGUGAUCGAGGAUGGUCCGGUGGGCUCGUGACCAUGCCUCGGUGUUUACUCGUUGAGUGUUCUGCAUCGACGUAUGUCAUUCUUCCGCCGCGAGAAAACAACAAACUUGAUAUAUUGAGUACUCUGAUGAAUUCAAACUUAUUCAAAUUCAAGUGUUGUAUCAUUGAAUCUAAAUUUAUGUAACCAUGUCUGUGAUGAUGUAAUUGUUGUGGCUCCUUCGCGAGCUUAAUGUGUA